rnacentral:rRNA from 1 species
CCUACGGGUGGCAGCAGUGAGGAAUAUUGGUCAAUGGCCGCUAGGCUGAACCAGCCAAGUAGCGUGAAGGAUGACUGCCCCAAGGAUUGUAAACUUCUUUUGUAUGGGAAUAAAGUCCAGUAUGUAUACUGCUUUGCAUGUACCUUAUGAAUAAGGAUCGGCUAACUCCGUGCCAGCAGCCGCGGUAAUACGGAGGAUCCGAGCGUUAUCCGGAUUUAUUGGGUUUAAAGGGGGCGUAGGCGGGUUGUUAAGUCAGUUGUGAAAGUUUGCGGCUCAACCGUAGCAUUGCAGUUGAUACUGGCAGCCUUGAGUACAGUAGAGGUAGGCGGAAUUCGUGGUGUAGCGGUGAAAUGCUUAGAUAUCACGAAGAACUCCGAUUGCGAAGGCAGCCUGCUGGACUGUAACUGACGCUGAUGCUCGAAAGUGUGGGUAUCAAACAGGAUUAGAUACCCUUGUAGUC